GAUUGAGAAGCAGAUGGUAAAUGGGGAGCAAGUUUCCAUGGGUUAUGGGAGUAUAGAAUUCGACUCAGUGGAGACAGCCACCUGUGUUUGUCGGGAUUUACAAUAAAACUGUCUUAGAUGGGCGUGCUCUUCUAUUGCAACAUUGCCAAGGAAAGAAUGCUGAAGCUGAUUCGACCACCACGUUGUUUGUGGGAAACGUUCGACCUUCGGUAAGGGAGGAAGAUUUAAGGGAGCGCUUCAGCCCAUUUGGAAGGGUAAAGCAUUUGACACUGCCGCCGGUGCCUUUGGGAAAUAAACGAGGAUUUGCAUUUGUGGAGUACGCAACGGAGGAUGAAGCGCAGAAUGCUCUGCAAGCUAUGGCCAACACCUCUAUGCAUGGAUGGCCUCUGGUCGUAGAGAGAGCGAAGGAAAGCAAGAAGAGGAAGCACGGCCAUCUGGAAUGAGGAGAUGUGGAUGACAUGAAGAUCAAAAGAUUUCAAGUGUUUUAGAAGUUCUUGGAGUUGAACCUUAGGCAAAGGUGCUAUGCUGAAUGCUCAUUUUCUCUGUACUAAGUCUGGAUAUUUCAGGCUGACAUUCUUUCCUUUAAUCGUGGCAGAAUUAUGGACGUCCUCAUUUCACUUAAAACUUCACGUCCUGUGUAUAAUUGACUCGUGGAGUAGUGUGGUUUACUUCCCUGAGCUGUCUAGGCUGGAGGGAUUUUCUUUGUCUUGUUUGAGAUGUCUACACAGGAUUAAGCAGGGAUUUCUUUUGAGAUUGCUUGAUGUCAUGUAAACCAAUUGAAGUUGCCUUCUAGUGCAUACUUCCUAUUUAAUUCCUGAUGCAGAAUUUUUU